CGUUUUUCGCGCUCAGCUGUUUUGUGUUUACGUUACUCGCUCUUGCCUCUCGUUGCUCUCACCCGCUCCAACACUCUCAAACUCAAGGUUCUCUUAGCAAAGAGAGCGCGGGUGCAGAGCACGCGACAUUCGCUGUCAUAUUUUAGCCCCGACGUUGUUGUUUUUGGUAUUUUUUGUUCACUUUUGACAUUUUUGCAUACGAAAAUUUUCCGCUUUCUGGUAGAUUUACCGUAGCGCGGAUCUUCUAACUUUUAAGUACUGUAACUGUGCUGAAAUUUUAAACCGAAAACUCGCACAUAUAUUCAGUAACACGUGCGUAUAUGUACGUAGCUAAAAGUAAUGUAAAACAGUCAAGGCCGCACACCUGCCCUUGGGAGCAAAGGAGAAAGAAGCUUACAGACGAACGGCUAUACAAACG